AGAGUUUGAUCCUGGCUCAGGACGAACGCUGGCGGCGUGCCUAACACAUGCAAGUCGAACGGGGUAAGCUGCUUCGGUAGCUUACUUAGUGGCGAACGGGUGAGUAACGCGUGAGAAACCUGCCUUUCAGUGGGGGACAACAGUUGGAAACGACUGCUAAUACCGCAUAAUGUUAUUUGGGGGCAUCCCUGAAUAACCAAAGAUUUAUUGCUGAAAGAUGGUCUCGCGUCUGAUUAGCUAGUUGGUGAGGUAACGGCUCACCAAGGCGACGAUCAGUAGCCGGUCUGAGAGGAUGAACGGCCACAUUGGGACUGAGAUACGGCCCAGACUCCUACGGGAGGCAGCAGUGGGGAAUAUUGGGCAAUGGGGGAAACCCUGACCCAGCAACGCCGCGUGAAGGAAGAAGGCCUUCGGGUUGUAAACUUCUUUUAGCAGGGACGAAUUCUGACGGUACCUGCAGAAAAAGCAACGGCUAACUACGUGCCAGCAGCCGCGGU
rnacentral:rRNA from 1 species